rnacentral:rRNA from 1 species
GAGACCCGUGCCCACUGUUACCAGCAUGUCCUCCGGGACGAUGGGUACUCUGUGGGGACCGCCGAUGUUAAAUCGGAGGAAGGUGCGGGCCACGGUAGGUCAGUAUGCCCCGAAUCUCCCGGGCUACACGCGGGCUACAAUGGAUGGGACAAUGGGUCCCUCCCCCGAAAGGGGCUGGUAAUCUCACAAACCCAUUCGUAGUUCGGAUCGAGGGCUGUAACUCGCCCUCGUGAAGCUGGAAUCCGUAGUAAUCGCGUUUCAAUAUAGCGCGGUGAAUAC